rnacentral:rRNA from 1 species
AUGCCGGAACCCACCCGCCUCCUCAUCACCAAGAACAAGGACGGCAAGGAAACGUCCGAGCCCAACCCUCUCCAUCCCAUCUGGGUGAGGGAGGAUCAGCAUGUGCUCGGCUACCUCCUCAACAACCUCUCCAAAGAAGUGCUCAUCGCGGUGACCGCGGUCACCACUGCGCACACCCUCUGGGUGGUGCUCGCAGGCAUGUUUUCCUCUCAAUCUCUGAGUUGUGUAAACAACAUUCACACUGCCUUGAUCAAUGCAUAG